rnacentral:other from 1 species
AAUUUUCUGCGGUGUGCGUUAUCUCUGAUAAUUCAACCGACAUAACAGACACGGGAGUCUGCGUUUAAUAUUGGAUAACAAGCCUCCUUAGAGAGGACGUUAGAAGAUAUUAACAGGAAACCCCCCUUUAUUAAGGCGGGUGUGAAUUAGCUGAGUUGACGGCAUUGUGGGUGAAAA